CGGUGAAUACGUUCCCGGGUCUUGUUCACACCGCCCGUCACACCAUGGGAGUGGGUUGCUCCAGAAGUAGAUAGCUUAACGAAUGGGCGUUUACCACGGUGUGAUUCAUGACUGGGGUGAAGUCGUAACAAGGUAGCCGUAGGGGAACCAGCGGCUGGAUCACCUCCUUA
rnacentral:rRNA from 1 species